rnacentral:rRNA from 1 species
UACAGAGGUGGCAAGCGUUGUUCGGAAUUACUGGGCGUAAAGGGCGCGUAGGCGGCCGCCUAAGUCAGACGUGAAAUCCCCAGGCUUAACUUGGGAACUGCGUCUGAUACUGGGUGGCUUGAGUUCGGGAGAGGAAUGUGGAAUUCCAGGUGUAGCGGUGAAAUGCGUAGAUAUCUGGAGGAACACCGGUGGCGAAGGCGGCAUCCUGGACCAACACUGACGCUGAGGAGCGAAAGCCAGGGGAGCAAACAGG